rnacentral:rRNA from 1 species
AAUAGAUACCCGGGUAGUCCACGCCGUAAACGAUGGAUGCUAGCUGUACGAGGUAUCGACCCCUUGUGUAGCGAAGCUAACGCGUUAAGCAUCCCGCCUGUGGAGUACGAGCGCAAGCUUAAAACAUAAAGGAAUUGACGGGGACCCGCACAAGCGGUGGAGUGUGUUGUUUAAUUCGAAGGUAAACGAAGAACCUUACCCAGGCUUGACAUCCUGCUAAUUUCUCCGAAAGGAGAAAGUAUCUUCGGACCGCAGUGACAGGUGUUGCAUGGCCGUCGUCAGCUCGUGUCGUGAGAUGUUUGGUUAAGUCCAUCAACGAGCGCAACCCUUGUGGCUAGUUGGAUAUUUCUAGUCAGACCACCCUGGUAACGGGGAGGAAGGAGGGGAUGACGUCAGGUCGGUAUUGCCCUUACGUCUGGGGCUACAAACACGCUACAAUGGCCGGUACAAAGGGCAGCCAACCCGCGAGGGGGAGCAAAUCCCAUCAAAACCGGUCCCAGUUCGGAUUGCAGGCUGAAACUCGCCUGCAUGAAGCCGGAAUCGCUAGUAAUGGU